rnacentral:rRNA from 1 species
CCUACGGGUGGCUGCAGUGGGGAAUAUUGGGCAAUGGGCGCAAGCCUGACCCAGCAACGCCGCGUGAAGGAAGAUGGCUUUUGGGUUGUAAACUUCUUUUCUCAGGGACGAAGAAAGUGACGGUACAUGAGGAAUAAGCCACCGUUAACUCCGUGAUAGCAGCCGCGGUAUGACGCAGGUGGAAAGCGUUAUCCGGAGUUAUCGGGUGCAAGGGGCGUGAAGGCGGAAGGGUAAGUCAGGUGUAAAAACUCAGGGCUCAACCGUGAGACUGCAUUUGACACUGUUUUUCUGGAAUGCUGAAGACGCGGGAGGAAUGCCGGGUGUAGCGGUGAAAUGCAUAGAUAUAACAAAGAACACCGAGGGCGAAGGCAGAUUACGAAGCAGUGACUGACGCUGAGGCACGAAAGCGUGGGGAGCAAACAGGAUUAGAUACCCCGGUAGUC